rnacentral:rRNA from 1 species
CCUACGGGAGGCAGCAGUGGGGAAUUUUGGACAAUGGGGGCAACCCUGAUCCAGCCAUUCCGCGUGAGUGAAGAAGGCCUUCGGGUUGUAAAGCUCUUUUGUUCGGGACGAAACGGUUACGGGUAAUAUCCGUGACUACUGACGGUACCGGAAGAAUAAGCACCGGCUAACUACGUGCCAGCAGCCGCGGUAAUACGUAGGGUGCGAGCGUUAAUCGGAAUUACUGGGCGUAAAGCGUGCGCAGGCGGUUAUGCAAGCCAGAUGUGAAAUCCCCGGGCUCAACCUGGGAAUGGCAUUUGGGACUGCAUAGCUAGAGUAUGGCAGAGGAGACUAGAAUUCCUGGUGUAGCAGUGAAAUGCGUAGAUAUCAGGAGGAAUACCGAUGGCGAAGGCAGGUCUCUGGGUUAAUACUGACGCUCAUGCACGAAAGCGUGGGGAGCAAACAGGAUUAGAUACCCCAGUAGUC